ACUCAUGGCUCAACGGUAGAGCAUCGGAGCGGUAAUCUGAAGGUUUAGGUUUCCAUUCCUAAAAGAGUA
rnacentral:tRNA from 1 species